CUCGAUUCAGUGGUUGGUGGUGCAUGGCCGUUCUUAGUUCGUGGAGCGAUCUGUCUGGUUAAUUCCGAUAACGAACGAGACUCUUGCCUGCUAAAUACGCCGGCGCCGACUCAGGUCGGCGACCGCUAGCUUCUUAGAGGGACAAGCGGCUUUUAGUCGCGUGAAGCGGAGAGCAAUAACAGGUCAGUGAUGCCCUCAGAUGUUCGGGGCCGCACGCGCGCUACACUGCUUGCAUCAGCGUGUUUCACCCUCGCCGGCCGGCGUGGGCAAUCCGUUGAACCGCAAGCGUGCUAGGGAUCGGAGAUUGCAAUUAUUCUCCGUCAACGAGGAAUUCCUUGUACUUGCGAGUCAUCAGCUCGCGGGGAAUCUGUCCCUGCCCUUUGUACACACCGCCCGUCGCUACUACCGAUUGAGUGGUUUAGUGAGGCCCACGGACUGCGCGCGGCACCCGGCGCUUCGGCGUCGCGUCGCGAGCGGAAAGUGAGACGAACUUGAUCACUU
rnacentral:rRNA from 1 species